rnacentral:rRNA from 1 species
UACGGGGGGGGCAAGCGUUGUUCGGAAUUACUGGGCGUAAAGGGCUCGUAGGUGGCCAACUAAGUCAGACGUGAAAGCCCCGGGCUCAACCUGGGAAUUGCGAUGGAGACUGCAAGGCUUGAAUCUGGCAGAGGGGGGUAGAAUUCCACGUGUAGCAGUGAAAUGCGUAGAGAUGUGGAGGAACACCGAUGGCGAAGGCAGCCCCCUGGGUCAAGAUUGACGCUCAUGCACGAAAGCGUGGGGAGCAAACAGG